AGGCAAAAGAUAAAUAAAUAACGAAAGAGCAGCGCCCGUCGCUUCGUAUUAUAAGCGAUAAAAAAAUUGAGUUUUUGACAAUAAUUGUUAGGAAUUAAAAAUCAACUCGACUCGCGGUGAACAAAAAUAUAGUUAUCGAUCGAUAAAACGCAACGAUAUUUGUGUGAUAGAAAUGUACAAGGAAAAUUCAGUGAACAAUUACGAUUAACGAAAAGUGCGAAAUCUUUGGAUAUGUCGCGUUCACGUUUCUCUCGGUGAAGAGACACGCGCGCGCCCGCGCGGACGCACGCGCGUAGAAUUAACAAAAGAAAAAAUAAAUCGAGUACAAGAAUCUUAGAAGCAACUAUGUGGGCUUGAUGAGAGAGGGAGAGAGAGAGUCGGUGUGCCCGUGACCGGUGAAAUACGUAUCUCAUCGCGAAGAUAAGUAGUACUGGAAUCUCGUUGACAUAAGUACCCAGCACAGAGGUCGGUCUUGGAAGCGACACAAGGAAUAACGAAAAGUGCGAUGUUUCGGAGGCGACUCGGACACCUCGAGCACCUGUUGCUCCUCGCUUUAUUCGUAGCCGUUUCUUCUCAAGAGAGCCGAGGAAGCGAAGGAUGCGGAUAUCCAGGAGCACCGGCUCACAGCACCGUCCGCUUCACCGGAGGUGGGGUCGACGAUGUUCUUGACGAGGAAGAGGCGUUGCUCAAGGACACCAACUUCCCUCUUGGCACCGUUGCCACUUACUCGUGCGAACGGGGAUUCGAACUUCUCGGACCUGCCAGGCGACAGUGCUCACCGGGAGGCCUUUGGUCACCGGAGGGUGUUCCAUUUUGCGUAUUAAACGUUGCCGGUGGAAAGGCGCCGAUGCAAUCGAGCAGCGCAGAGGGUGGAAUACCUCAGCGUGCGGUGGACGGAAGCAGCGGUCAGAUUUACACGUCCCAAACUUGUACAUUGACGAGAAAGGAACUCAGACCGUGGUGGUACGUCAAUCUUUUGGAGCCUUACAUGGUUCAACUGGUUCGUCUCGAUUUUGGAAAACCAUGUUGCGGGGAGAAUUUACCAGGAACGAUAAUCGUUAGGGUUGGCAACAAUCGCCCGGAUCUCGGGACAAAUCCAAUUUGUAAUCGUUUCACCGGACCGCUCGAAGAGGGCCAGCCUCUCUUUCUUCCCUGCAAUCCCCCGAUGCCCGGUGCUUUUGUCUCGGUUCAUCUCGAAGCUUCAAGCCCAACGGCGACUCCGGUACAGCUCUCGCUGUGCGAGGCGUUCGUCUACACCGAUCAGGCUCUUCCCAUUGAAAGAUGCCCCCAAUUUCGCGAUCAACCACCCGGUUCGACCGCCACCUACAACGGCAAAUGUUAUAUUUUUUAUAAUCGGCAGCCUCUCGCUUUUCGAGAUGCUCUUGCGUUUUGUCGCGCCCGAGGCGGUACUCUCGUCGACGAGAGCAAUCCCGCGCUCCAGGGUUUCAUCUCCUGGGAACUCUGGCGUAGACACAGAAGCGACACUUCGAGUCAAUAUUGGAUGGGAGCGGUGAGAGACGAAAAAGACAAAACAGUGUGGAAAUGGACGGGUAGCGGUGAUCAAGUGUCCGUUUCAUUCUGGAGUCUGCCUCAAGGAACGGAGGAAAAUUGCGCAAGAUACGACGGAAGUCGCGGAUGGCUCUGGUCCGACACGUCGUGUUCAGCGAGGCUCAAUUAUAUAUGUCAACAUCAGCCUCGAGCUUGCGGAAGACCGGAACAACCGCCGAAUUCGACCAUGUCCAUAAUAAAUCAAUCCGAGGAAAGAAAUACCGGAGGGAAUUACCAAGUGGGCGCAUUGGUCGAGUACAGCUGUAACGCGGGAAGUUUGUUGAUCGGACCAUCGACGAGGACUUGUCUCGAUACCGGUUUUUACAACGAAUUUCCUCCAGUAUGCAAAAGUAUAGAGUGCGGAUAUCCAGCGAAUAUAAAACACGGAGAGUACACGCUCAUAAAUAACACGGUCAGCUAUUUGAGUCAAGUUCUUUAUUCGUGCCAAGAUGGAUACGAAAUGACCGGACGUGCUCGGCUUACUUGUGAUAUUGACGAACGUUGGAACGGCCCUCCACCUCGCUGCGAACCCAUCCGUUGUGACUCACCUGCGUUGGUCGCUCACAGCGAUAUUGAAAUCGACGGAAUCGAUGUCGAAGACACGACUCAAGCUAAAAACACGAAUCGCAGCCUUUUAGUUGGCAGUAUCGUCACUUAUACCUGUCAUCGUGGAUAUCGAAUCUCCGGUCAUCGGCAAAUUCUUUGCUUACCGACCGGAGUCUACGAUCAUCCGCCUCCCGUUUGUUCAGAAGAAGUACGUACAACCGCGUCAUUACCAUCGAGAGUAACGUCGCGGCCGACACUACCGCGAGGUAGGCCGUUCCUGCCGACGAGAGUGCGAACAACGUCGACGACAUCGACUUCGGUCGUAACGAGAUCAACGACGAUUCGGGAAGAAGAGGAGAACACCUCGAGCCCCCCGGAAAAAACGUCGCCGCCUCCCGGUGGAGUGGAACUUCCGGCAAUUGUGAGAGAAACCGUUGGUAAACGACCAACGAUAGGACUCGGAAAAACGGCUGCGUCACCAACGAAUUAUCACCAAGGCGAAGGUAGCAACGAUCAUCCUCAGGACAACGAGAUUUCAGGCAGCGGCGUUGACAAUGCUCAGGCUAAAAUUGGCACCGGCGUGCCCGAGCCUUCGGGACCUUUCAGGGUCGAUCGCUCCGAUGCACCGGCACAUCAGGCUAAACUCAAUUUAGGCGCUGUCAUCGGUCUCGGCGUGUUCGGUGGUUUUGUCUUCCUCGCCGCAAUCAUCACGACCGUAACGAUCCUCAUCCGAAGCGGUAGCGGAAAUGUUCGAGGAAGCAGAGGUCGAAGGGGUCUGACCGGGAUCGGUGGUCUCGGUGGUGGUAGCGGCGGUGGUCUUGGUAGAGCCGAGCCUGGGAUGCCAUCUCGUUGGUACACCCUUCUUGCGCUUCCGUUUCCCGAUCAACACCUUGGCCGCCGUGAUCUAACGGCACGUCGCGGAAGCGAUCAUCCGUAUUCGUUCAGUCUAACGGCGGCUCAUCGCGCUGGCUACUUCUCCAAUCCUUCUCUAUAACUGCUCGUCCGUCCGUCCAUCCGUCCGCCCACCGAACUUUGCUACGCCUCGUCAGACCAACCUUCUACCACACCCUUCAUACAAACACGUACCGCAACGAGACACUGACUACGUUUUGUCGUCGCCUUUGAAUUUUCAUCGUCGCGCGCCUCAACAACCCUAGUCAAGGAACCGUGGAAGACGAAGGAAGCAUUAUCGUCAUCGCGCAUCGCCGGAUUGCAACACCGUAGCGAGUUUCGACAGUGGUUCGUCGGAGAGUCGAGGAGGAUUGAAUCGUUAUUAUAG
rnacentral:misc_RNA from 1 species